AACGAACGCUGGCGGCAGGCUUAACACAUGCAAGCCGAGCGCCCCGCAAGGGGAGCGGCAGACGGGUGAGUAACGCGUGGGAAUCUACCCAUCUCUACGGAAUAACGCAUGGAAACGUGUGCUAAUACCGUAUACGUCCUUCGGGAGAAAGAUUUAUCGGAGAUGGAUGAGCACGCGUUGGAUUAGCUAGUUGGUGGGGUAAAGGCCUACCAAGGCGACGAUCCAUAGCUGGUCUGAGAGGAUGAUCGGCCACACUGGGACUGAGACACGGCCCAGACUCCUACGGGAGGCAGCAGUGGGGAAUAUUGGACAAUGGGCGCAAGCCUGAUCCAGCCAUGCCGCGUGAGUGAUGAAGGCCCUAGGGUUGUAAAGCUCUUUCACCGGUGAAGAUAAUGACGGUAACCGGAGAAGAAGCCCCGGCUAACUUCGUGCCAGCAGCCGCCGCGGUAA
rnacentral:rRNA from 1 species